CUCAGAAACUCAAAGGAAUUGACGGGGCCGCACAAGCGGUGGAGUAUGUGGUUUAAUUCGAUGCAACGCGAAGAACCUUACCUGGUCUUGACAUCCCGGAGACCCUUAGGAAACUAGGGGGUGCUUCCAUCUGGAAGAAUCUGGAGACAGGUGCUGCAUGGCUGUCGUCAGCUCGUGUCGUGAGAUGUUGGGUUAAGUCCCGCAACGAGCGCAACCCUUGCCUUUAGUUGCCAGCAGUUCGGCUGGGCACUCUAAAGGGACUGCCGGUGUUAAACCGGAGGAAGGUGGGGAUGACGUCAAGUCCUCAUGGCCUUUAUGACCAGGGCUACACACGUACUACAAUGGCCGAUACAAAGGGCAGCGACACUGCGAGGUGAAGCCAAUCCCGUAAAAUCGGUCUCAGUCCGGAUUGGAGUCUGCAACUCGACUCCAUGAAGUUGGAAUCGCUAGUAAUCGUGGAUCAGCAUGCCACGGUGAAUACGUUCCCGGGCCUU
rnacentral:rRNA from 1 species